AGCCGAAACCGGGGAAGCCCGGUCACACGGGAAUGACCGUCCGUGUCUGAUGAUGGCAGGUCAAC
rnacentral:hammerhead_ribozyme from 3 species